UGCCCAGACAGGGGCUCGAACCCUAAACCAUUAGGUUAAAAGGCUACCGCUCUACUGACUGAGCUAUCCUGAUGGU
rnacentral:tRNA from 1 species